rnacentral:rRNA from 1 species
GACGAACGCUGGCGGCGUGCCUAAUACAUGCAAGUUGAGCGCUGAAGGUUGGUACUUGUACCACCUGGAUGAGCAGCGAACGGGUGAGUAACGCGUGGGUAAUCUGCCUUUGAGCGGGGGACAACUUCUGGAAACGAAUGCUAAUACCGCAUAAUAACUUUAAACACAUGUUUUAAGAUUGAAAGAUGCAAUUGCAUCCCUCUAAGAUUAUCCCCCCUAGUAUUAGCUAGUUGGUGAGGUAAAGGCUCACCAAGGCGAUGAUGCGUAGCCGACCUGAGAGGGGGAGCGGAAAAAAUGGAACUGAGACACGGGCAAGACGACUACGGGAGGAAGAAGGAGGGAAAAUGCAGAAAUGGGCGAAAGAAUGAAGGAGAAAGGACGCGUGAGUGAGGAAGGUAGUCGGAUCGUAAAACUCGGUUAUUAGGGAAGAACAAAUGUGUAAGUAACUAUGCACGACGUGACGGUAGCUAAUCAGAAAGACACGGCUAACUACGUG